GAUGAAGAACGUAGCGAAAUGCGAUACUAGGUGUGAAUUGCAGAAUCCCGUGAACCAUCGAGUCUUUGAACGCAAGUUGCGCCUCAAGCCAUUAGGUUGAGGGCACGUCUGCCUGAGCGUCACAUAUCGUUGCCUGAUGCCAGUUUCCUCGUGAUGGGUGACUGUGCAGGGCGAAUGAUGGCUUCCCGUGAGCAUUGUUGCCUCAUGGUUGGUUGAAAAUUGAGUCCUUGGUAGGGAGCGCCGUGAUAGAUGGUGGUUGAGUGACGAACGAGACCCAAUCAUGUGAGACCCCUACCGAAUUUGGCCUUCAUGACCCACAUGCGUCUUUGGAACGCUCAUGACGAGACCUCAGGUCAGGCGGGGCUACCCGCUGAGUUUAAGCAUAUCAAUAAGCGGAGGA
rnacentral:misc_RNA from 1 species